rnacentral:rRNA from 1 species
ACAUGGCUACAACAUAGCACUAAUGCAUCGAAUCCCAUUAGAACUCCGUAGUUAAGUGUGUUGAAGCUAGAGUAGUACUGGGAUGGGUGACCACCCAAGAAGUCCUAGUGUUUUACAUGCC